rnacentral:rRNA from 1 species
CCUACGGGGGGCAGCAGUGGGGAAUAUUGGACAAUGGGCGCAAGCCUGAUCCAGCGACGCCGCGUGUGUGAAGAAGGCCUGCGGGUUGUAAAGCACUUUUAGUGGGGAUGAAAAGCUCGGAGCCAAUACCUCCGGGUCUUGACCUAACCCAAAGAAAAAGCACCGGCUAACUCUGUGCCAGCAGCCGCGGUAAUACAGAGGGUGCAAGCGUUAAUCGGAAUUACUGGGCGCAAAGUGGGCGUAGGCGGUUGAAAUCCCCGGGCUCAACCUGGGAAUUGCAUUCGGGACUGCGAGGCUAGGGUGCGGAAGAGGGAAGUGGAAUUUCCGGUGUAGCGGUGAAAUGCGUAGAUAUCGGAAGGAACAUCAGUGGCGAAAGCGACUUCCUGGUCCAGCACCGACGCUGAGGCGCGAAAGCUAGGGGAGCGAACGGGAUUAGAUACCCCAGUAGUC